rfam:Schistosoma mattheei strain Denwood, Zambia genome assembly, scaffold: SMTD_scaffold0000067
GCACUGCUGCGGAGUCCCAUAAUAGAACGAAACAGUUGUCCAGUGC